rnacentral:rRNA from 1 species
CCUACGGGGGGCAGCAGUGGGGAAUAUUGGACAAUGGGGGGAACCCUGAUCCAGCCAUGCCGCGUGUGUGAAGAAGGCCCUCGGGUUGUAAAGCACUUUCAGUGAGGAAGAACGCCUGGUGGUUAAUACCCAUCAGGAAAGACAUCACUCACAGAAGAAGCACCGGCUAACUCCGUGCCAGCAGCCGCGGUAAUACGGAGGGUGCGAGCGUUAAUCGGAAUUACUGGGCGUAAAGCGCGCGUAGGUGGCUUGAUAAGCCGGUUGUGAAAGCCCCGGGCUCAACCUGGGAACGGCAUCCGGAACUGUCAAGCUAGAGUGCAGGAGAGGAAGGUAGAAUUCCCGGUGUAGCGGUGAAAUGCGUAGAGAUCGGGAGGAAUACCAGUGGCGAAGGCGGCCUUCUGGACUGACACUGACUCUGAGGUGCGAAAGCGUGGGUAGCAAACAGGAUUAGAUACCCCUGUAGUC